GUCUACAGUCAUGCUACCCUGAACAAGCCCUAUCCUGUCUGGUCUCGGAAGCUAAGCAGGGUUGGGCCUGGUUAGUACUUGGAUGGGAGACUACCUAUGAAAACCAGGUGCUGUUGGUG
rnacentral:rRNA from 1 species